rnacentral:rRNA from 1 species
AUUGAACGCUGGCGGCAGGCCUAACACAUGCAAGUCGAACGAGUGGCGGACGGGUGAGUAAUGUCUGGGAAACUGCCUGAUGGAGGGGGAUACCUACUGGAAACGGUAGCUAAUACCGCAUACCAUCGGAUGUGUCCAGAUGGGAUUCGCUAGUAGGUGGGGUAAAGGCUCACCUAGGCGACGAUCCCUCGCUGGUCUGAGAGGCUGACAAGCCACACGGGAACUGAGACACUGUCAAGACUCCUACGGGAGGCAGCAGUGGGGAAUAUUGCACAAGGGGCGCAAGCCGGAUGCAGCCACGCCGCGUGUAUGAAGAAGGCCUUCGGGUUGUAAAGUACUUUCAGCGGGGAGGCGUUACCCGCAGAAGAAGCACCGGCUAACUCCGUGCCAGCAGCCGCGGUAAUUC